rnacentral:rRNA from 1 species
UGAGGAAUAUUCCACAAUGGGCGAAAGCCUGAUGGAGCGACGCCGCGUGCGGGAAGAAGCCUUUCGGGGUGUAAACCGCUUUUCUCUGGGAUGACACGGUGGGGUAACCCACCUAGGACAGUACCAGAGGAAUAAGCAUCGGCUAACUACGUGCCAGCAGCCGCGGUAAUACGUAGGAUGCUAGCGUUGUCCGGAUUUACUGGGCGUAAAGCGCGCGCAGGCGGCACCUCAAGUACUCUCUGAAAUCCACCUGCUCAACGGGUGGGGUGGAGAGUAGACUGAGGAGCUAGAGAGAGGUAGAGGGGGGUAGAAUUGCUGGUGUAGCGGUGAAAUGCGUAGAGAUCAGCAGGAAUACCCGUGGCGAAGGCGGCCCCCUGGGCCUCUUCUGACGCCGAGGCGCGAAGGCCGGGGGAGCGAACGGGAUUAGAUACCCCGGUAGUCCCAGCAGUAAACGAUGACCACUAGGUGUGGGGGUGUUGACCCUUCCGUGCCGAAGCCAACGCAUU